UACGUAGGGUGCAAGCGUUGUCCGGAAUUAUUGGGCGUAAAGAGCUCGUAGGCGGUUUGUUGCGUCGGCUGUGAAAUCCCGAGGCUCAACCUCGGGUCUGCAGUCGAUACGAGCAAACUAGAGUGUUGCAGGGGAGACUGGAAUUCCUGGUGUAGCGGUGAAAUGCGCAGAUAUCAGGAGGAACACCGGUGGCGAAGGCGGGGUCUCUGGGGCA
rnacentral:rRNA from 1 species